AUUAUAUUCCCUUCAUUCCAAAAUACUUCCUUCGUUCCAAAUACGGAUGUAUCUAGACUCAUUUUAGUGCUAGAUACCUCCGUAUCUAGAUAAAUUUAAGACAAGUAAUUCGGAACGGAGAGAGUAAAUG
rnacentral:pre_miRNA from 1 species